GACGAACGCUGGCGGCGUGCCUAAUACAUGCAAGUCGAACGCUUCUUUCCUCCCGAGUGCUUGCACUCAAUUGGAAAGAGGAGUGGCGGACGGGUGAGUAACACGUGGGUAACCUACCCAUCAGAGGGGGAUAACACUUGGAAACAGGUGCUAAUACCGCAUAACAGUUUAUGCCGCAUGGCAUAAGAGUGAAAGGCGCUUUCGGGUGUCGCUGAUGGAUGGACCCGCGGUGCAUUAGCUAGUUGGUGAGGUAACGGCUCACCAAGGCCACGAUGCAUAGCCGACCUGAGAGGGUGAUCGGCCACACUGGGACUGAGACACGGCCCAGACUCCUACGGGAGGCAGCAGUAAGGAAUCUUCGGCAAUGGACGAAAGUCUGACCGAGCAACGCCGCGUGAGUGAAGAAGGUUUUCGGAUCGUAAAACUCUGUUGUUAGAGAAGAACAAGGACGUUAGUAACUGAACGUCCCCUGACGGUAUCUAACCAGAAAGCCACGGCUAACUACGUG
rnacentral:rRNA from 1 species